UGGGCACUAGGUUUGAAGAGUACCGU
rnacentral:piRNA from 1 species